rnacentral:lncRNA from 1 species
UUUGGGUGAUUUAAUUUACAUUUUUUAAUGGUCCACUUGGUUGAAAAUUUAAAGGUUAAAAAGAAGAAUAUACAAUGAGGUCUCUAUUCUGCUGUCCUCACUAAGUUGCUCUAUCUAGAAGCAGUCAGCAUGACUACUUUCUUCUGAAUCUCUGCAGAAAUACUCUUACAGACAGACAAGAUUAGACCGGAGUCUGUGCUCUCUCUUUUUUCCAGGUUUUUUUUGGUGCAGUGAUUAACACACCCACUCUUCCACACACUGGUGUGUGUGUGUGUGUGUUCCUUGCUUAUUAAUAGAUCUCAGAUAUAUUCCCACAUAUCUUGUUUAUUUAACUAUUCCCCUACUGCCAGACCUUAGGUUAUGGGUUGUUCUCUCCUCUGCCAAUCUCUGCAUCUACAGUGGCUGCUCUUCCUCUUCAUGGAUUGAGCCACUUCUUCACAAUGGCCUUGGUCCCCC